GACGAACGCUGGCGGCGUGCUUAACACAUGCAAGUCGAACGGAAAGGCCUGCUUUCCCUUGUGGAUUGCGGGUACUCGAGUGGCGAACGGGUGAGUAACACGUGAGUGAUCUGCCCCCAACUUGGGUAUAAGCCUGGGAAACUGGGUCUAAUUCCCGAUAGGACUGCAGGGUGGUGCCUGUGGUGGAAAACGAUUUUCUAGUGGUUGGGGAUGAGCUCGCGGCCUAUCAGCUUGUUGGUGGGGUAAUGGCCUACCAAGGCGGCGACGGGUAGUCGGCCUGGGAGGGUGGACGGCCACAUUGGGACUGAGAUACGGCCCAGACUCCUACGGGAGGCAGCAGUGGGGAAUAUUGCACCAUGGGCGGAAGCCUGAUGCAGCGACGCCGCGUGGGGGAUGACGGCCUUCGGGUUGUAAACUCCUUUCGACCGCGAGGAAGCCACCUGGUUGGAAGGGUGGUGACGGUAGUGGUAGAAGAAGCACCGGCUAACUACGUG
rnacentral:rRNA from 1 species